rnacentral:rRNA from 1 species
AGGAAUAUUGGUCAAUGGGCGAGAGCCUGAACCAGCCAAGUAGCGUGAAGGAUGAAGGUCCUACGGAUUGUAAACUUCUUUUAUACGGGAAUAAAGUUUCCUACGUGUAGGAUUUUGUAUGUACCGUAUGAAUAAGCAUCGGCUAACUCCGUGCCAGCAGCCGCGGUAAUACGGAGGAUGCGAGCGUUAUCCGGAUUUAUUGGGUUUAAAGGGAGCGCAGACGGGAGAUUAAGUCAGUUGUGAAAGUUUGCGGCUCAACCGUAAAAUUGCAGUUGAUACUGGUUUCCUUGAGUGCAGUUGAGGCAGGCGGAAUUCGUGGUGUAGCGGUGAAAUGCUUAGAUAUCACGAAGAACCCCGAUUGCGAAGGCAGCUUGCUAAACUGUAACUGACGUUCAUGCUCGAAAGUGUGGGUAUCAAACAGGAUUAGAUACCCUGGUAGUCCACACGGUAAACGAUGGAUACUCGCUGUUGGCGAUAUACUGUCAGCGGCUUAGCGAAAGCGUUAAGUAUCCCACCUGGGGAGUACGCCGGCAACGGUGAAACUCAAAGGAAUUGACGGGGGCCCGCACAAGCGGAGGAACAUGUGGUUUAAUUCGAUGAUACGCGAGGAACCUUACCCGGGCUUAAAUUGCAAAGGAAUAAUCUGGAAACAGGUUAGUCUUCGGACCUUUGUGAAGGUGCUGCAUGGUUGUCGUCAGCUCGUGCCGUGAGGUGUCGGCUUAAGUGCCAUAACGAGCGCAACCCUCGCCGCCAGUUACUAACAGUUAAAGCUGAGGACUCUGGCGGGACUGCCAUCGUAAGAUGUGAGGAAGGUGGGGAUGACGUCAAAUCAGCACGGCCCUUACGUCCGGGGCUACACACGUGUUACAAUGGGCGGUACAGAAGGCAGCUACCUGGCGACAGGAUGCCAAUCCCGAAAGCCGCUCUCAGUUCGGACUGGAGUCUGCAACCCGACUCCACGAAGCUGGAUUCGCUAGUAAUCGCGCAUCAGCCACGGCGCGGUGAAUACGUUCCCG